CGCCGGCGCCCGGCUCCGCAGCUCCGCUCCCAGCACCUCAUGCCCCUCGGAAAAGCCAGUUGCGAUGAGCCCCGGCCGCUGAGGAGAAGCUUGCAGCAGAGACCACACAGUGGCAGCAGGGUGGGAGGGAGCCCAGCUUGCCGCCAAGCUCCUCGGCGGUGACUGUGCCUUGGUGGACCACUCCAGUUGCCAGUGGUCAAGCUGGGUGCGAAAGUCACUCACCGCCAACCUGCACCCGCUACAGCUUCUUGCAAAGAGUCGUUCCUUGGAAACAGGGUAGCAGGUAUAAUAAAGACAUAUGUGUCAGGUGGAGAGUUCAUAAUUAUGUUGUAUUGUUGCUGCUUUGCUGACCGCAAGCUCCCGGUUUCUCCAGUCACUUUUGGAAGACCUGUAUGUUCUCUGGCAUAAUGCAAAAGCACAGUAAGCCCUUGUUAAACAUCCAGGACCUUAUGGGUCUGUCUGAGAAGAGAAUAAUCUGGAAGUAGAUAACAGUUCUAGUUUUUUAGGUUCUGCUGUAAGUGAAUGAGAAGAAAUAAUUGUCUAUGGAUUUCAGUUAGAGAUUGCCAGAGCAGGAAGGAGAAGAGCUCCGGAAAGCUUCUGGAAGUGCAAGUCGGAGUUAUUUAUAAGGAACUAGGGAAGCGGUACAGGCACCAGUCUGUUACAUGCAUUUGGCUUCUGGGGGUGACAUUCCCAUGCACACGAUCCAACUGAGAGAUGAUCUUGUUCAGGAUUUGAGACCUCGGUAAUUCUUCACUGAGGAGGGUGACUGUGAGUGCCAAGACUGACCCUGGGUGCUGUCCCACUCUCCUGAGGCAGCCAGAGCCCGCCUGCCAAUAGAAGUUUUUAUAUGUAAGUGCAAGAUGCAAGGCCCUUUUGGGGAUCCUGGAGGAGGCUACAGCACCCUGGCAAAUCCAACCAUCAUGUCUCCAUGUGGGUACCCCAACAGCUUUCUCCAGUCCUUUGAAGACUUAUGCAGUAGAUGCUUUAACUGCAGAUUAUUAGCAUCAGAGAUGUCACCGGAUCUAUCCAAUGGCUUAUCAUUAAAUCAUACAUUUUUACAGAAUAAUGGCUUAGGCCAGAGUUUUGUGUGAGAACUAGUGAGAUUUUAGGGCAUUUAGUACAGAAAGAAAAACACUGUAGUCACAUAACAUUAAGUGGUAAAUCAAUAUAUACCUAUUCUGCUGAAAUCAAAAGUUCCCCAAAGAAAAAUUGAGGGGCAGAGUUUGACAAGCCAAAUAUAUGUUGCCUCAAUUAUGUCAUUGUUAGUUACAUCAGUUCAGUCAGUCUUCCUGUAGUUGACAAGAAGCUGGCAUAAAAACAUAAAACAGGCAAAAAUAUCAUAUUGUAUGCUCUGACUAAUUCCUCAGAAAUGUGCCUGUGAGCUUGGGUCUGAUCUGGAUUGAUUCUGUGCGGUUGGCAGAUCCAGGAGGACACAGACUGGGACUGUGAUGAUUGUAGAACCACAACUGCAAUUUUUCAUUGUAGCUUCAUUGUGGCUCAUUUAAACUGCAUGUUCCUAGGAGCAGAGCCUUCUUGCAUUUGGUCUGUUUAUUUUGGUGUGCUAUAAAGAGUGCUCAUCUGUAGAUCUAUAUAAAUACAAUUCAUACUAUUGCGCAUUGAAAUAAUCUCUUUGUAGUUAUUGCUACACAAAAUUAUUCCAUUUACACCUUAAAAUGAAAGAAAUAGUUGAGAUAAAAUCCUGCCAUAUGGAUCAAAUCUUGCAAAAUUUGUGACAUUUUAUGUACUGCUCUGUGGCAAUUGUGAAUAAAAGGCUACCACAUUUUUUAAUGAGAA